CUCUCUCUCUCUCUCUCUCUCUCUCUCUCUCUCUCUCUCUCUCUCUCUCUCUCUCUCUCUCUUCUCUCUCUCUCCCUCUCUUCCUCUCCCUUGCGGGCAGAGAAGAAGCCCACGCGCGCACGCGGUGAUGUCUUCCUGGUGAUAACUGGCCCAGGGGUCGUUGGCAGCAGAGGACCCCAAGAUGGAAGACCCGAAGGAUGGAAGGAAUCUACUUCAGAGCUGUCACUUAUAGGAAGGCAAGCUGUCUGACCGAGACCACGUGUUCCUGUCACAGCCUUCCAUGAGCCAACCUCAGGAUAAAUCUCGGGCUGACCACACGCAUCUGAAGAUCUGCGACAGUCUUUGGGACUUGGACUUCCCGAAGCCAAGGACUAGACAGCAGAGUCAUUGACAAGCCUCGCUUCUGAGCUGUGCUCUGGAUCUUAGAGCUGGUCCUGUCUCACCCUGGGUCUCAUGGCUGCAACCAGCAUUCCAACUGCAGCCUUUUCAAGGGUCCGUACCAGUUCAUGCACCAGGUUAUCCCCCUGCCGUGAUUCCAUGAUUCUCAGAGGAGGCUGGGAGGAGCCCUGAGCUGGAAUCAGAUGCAGAUUGUGGCCUGGGCUCCAAUUACACUUUGAGUCAUAGCUCCUGAUCCUCGCCCCCCCCCCACAGGACCUCCCCCACUGCUGUGUGCCCACUUGACUCCCAGAAGGCAUCAGCCAUACGUGGUGGGAAAACACAUGUGCUGCCACACGGGCCAGGCUUGGUCUUAUGAGCCCCAAGCUUUCCAUGUGAUCCCUAUGGUGCAUGACUGAAAAAGCUGCUCAACUUUGUGAGCCUUAGUUUCCAUACGGUAAAAUGGGAAUAUUAGCACUUACCUUGAAGGCCUGUGGGGGGAAUCGCAUGAUGACUUGCAAAGCCUGGCAGGUCUGAGUGAUACUCGGCGUAUUUUAAGGAAUUUUAAGCCUUUUCUUUCAUUGCUGGAGUUCUUACUGAUUCUUCAUGCUUUCAUUUCCCCCUCCUUACCUCAAGGCCAUGCGCUUCUUUCCUAACCUGUCAUGGGCAGGUGCUGUUGAAGGCCUUCCUGCCAGGCUCAGCUCACCUGAAUUCACUAGCAGCUACUGUCUACAGUCAACAUCUUCCCAGGAGCUUCAGUCUUCGGGACCUGGGUCUUGCUGCCGCUUUGUUUGAGGAUGUUCCAAGGGACUUGGAAAGCUCAGAGUUUGUGCCCUAUCCACCAAUAGGAAGCUGCUCCCUGCCCCCUAAGGCCUCUGCUUUAGCUGUCCGAUGGCUCUUUUGUCUUCACACCAAAGCACUUCCUCCCAACUCCAUCACUUCCUGCCAAGGGACAGCCCCAGUGUGGACCUGAUGGUCUUCCUUGGCACUCCCAUCCCAGCCUUCAGUGACUGAAGAAGCUGCGAGCUAGGCCUGGGCAGAGGAGGCCUUUAUCACACCAACAACACAUCUGUCGGAUGGGUGGGUGGGUAUGCACUGAAUGAAUGAGCGCUGUCAUUCCAUCUAUAUCUAUGAGUUACACUUGGAAGUUUCCACUGAGCACGGCCCAGUGCAGCCUCUUAAACACCGUGCAUGGGUGCCUGCUACUUGCCCAGGACCCCCGCUUGCAAUCAGCCAAGCGUGUGUUGCAUGUUUGACAAGUUGGAUGCGGAGUGGAGAAACUCGAAUGCUUUCAUCUAUUUACUUUUACCACAUGCCAUAGAAAUUAAAAAUACAUUGUACCACAAGUGCUGUAUUUAGUGUCUCCCUUUAAUUACAUUCAAGUGUGUUGCUAAAUAGUCUUGAGGAAACCGUAAUGACCAGCUGUUCUACCCUUUCCCAUAUGUCAGAGCUGGUGUCUGAAAUCACAUUCUGGGACAGGAAGGUUGUAUAAUUAGACAGUGUACAGUUAACACUUCUAGAUUUCCCCCCUUAAACUGUGGGGCCUUUACACUAACAUAUUGUACGAUUCUGCCAGUUUGGCACAAUACAAUUAAAUGACGUGCCAAAGAGAGAGGAGAGUCUAUCAGCACCAUCAGUCGCACGAUGACGGCCUAAGUGUGUGCACUAUGCAAGAUUCAGUGUGCUCAGCUGACAAAUACACUUAGGAAAGAGGACUUUAAAUUUUUAAUAUCCCCUCAUAGUGCCAUUUAUCUCGUUAGAAUUAGAUGUGAAAGUAGCUUGUUUUUAUGGGUCCUUUCAAACAAAGAGGUAUCACCCCAAAACACAGCAACCAUUUAAGAAGCCAGAAUGGAACCGAAAGUCGCCAGAGUUAGAUGGGAAGACGACCUUUCCUAUGGAUUCUUGUGGGGGACGUGGGAUUCUUUUGCUACUGCCAAACUGGAUGUGGAAGAGACGAAACGACCGAAUGAUAUAAAGAGCAGACGGUGGGAAGUAAGCUGCCGCUCCUGCCAGUCGCUGCCUUCAGCCUGGGGAGUCCUCUCCAACCACAGUGACAUUUCACCUGAUCAAGUUCAGCGAGCUCUUUGAUUUUUAAAAAUACAGACAGACAUCGAAAUAGAAAAAUAAAGUAAAGAGAUGCAUUCUUUACGCGUUCCUCUUCCAAGGAAAAUGCCCUUGAUGCUUGUCCUAUGCCAUGAGUCAAAAAUGCAGCUCGGCUUUCACAUCAAUUUGUCCUCAAGAAUACAGUCAACUCAUGGCCAAGGUUUUCUUCAGCCCUAAAAUAACAAUCGCUUUUUUAAAAGCCUGCGAGAGGGAGCAAUGCUCUCCCGAGAAGACCGAUUUGCUGCAUUUUGUCUGUACAUUUGAAUCUCCGGUGACUUAUUUAGAUGUAAGCGCUGACAGCUGUAAUCGUUUUAAAUCUUGCUUUGUGUCCUGAGUUAGAAUGGUGUUCAAUUGAUAUUCAGAAUAAUGGCAGCGGUGUGCUUCUUUGAAAAGGACCUGAGCACACUCCAGUGCUUUGGGAAACAGACUCGCCAGAGGGUUAAUCCACAUUUAGAACUUGCAUUAAUAAAAACCCUACCUUG